ensembl:lncRNA
CCGUGAUAGCCUUGGUCUACAGUUGCCAUUCUGGGUUAACCAGUGGUACACUUCCGUUGGAGGCCUGGGUCAAAGGAGGUCCCUAAGGGCCAGCUGGGUCUGGCCCCUCUGGCUUCAAGCAGCAAAAAAAAGCUUACAGUAGCAGCUGAUAGCCGACGGGGGAUACCACUCUGUGUAGAAAUGGGGGUACUCAGAGCUGCGUGAACUCCUUGGACAGGCCAAACAGCGUGGAGGUCACUUCUACUGGUAGCUGUGCAAUUCAGGAAUGAAGUCUGUUGCUCAGCUCGGACGCCUGACAGCAUUUUGUGUGCUCCAGCAGCUUCACUCUGAGCAAUGUAUUGCUGUCAGGCAGACUGGGGUUUCUUUACCACUACCUCAGCAGGAACAAGACCAGAAAUACGGUCCGCAAGUGCACUGCAACUGAACAGAAAAUGGUCUGGUUUGGCUGUAAGAAUAGUGUAUUUGAGGGAUUUUUGGUGGAUGUGGGCUAACAGGACAACUUCUGUUGGUGACUGGUUUCUGCGAAGGAGAAAAAUUACACUUGGUUUUAGGGAAUCAGCCCGGGAUUAGAGCGACUCUUACUGAGAAAAGGGAAAGCUUCUGAAAACCACACGACAUGGAAAGAACAAAGACAAAGACAACUCUCGGGAUGGAAUCAAAGAAUGCCCUCA